rnacentral:rRNA from 1 species
UGGGGAAUAUUGGACAAUGGGCGAAAGCCUGAUCCAGCCAUGCCGCGUGUGUGAAGAAGGUCUUCGGAUUGUAAAGCACUUUAAGUUGGGAGGAAGGGCAGUAAGUUAAUACCUUGCUGUUUUGACGUUACCGACAGAAUAAGCACCGGCUAACUCUGUGCCAGCAGCCGCGGUAAUACAGAGGGUGCAAGCGUUAAUCGGAAUUACUGGGCGUAAAGCGCGCGUAGGUGGUUUGUUAAGUUGGAUGUGAAAUCCCCGGGCUCAACCUGGGAACUGCAUUCAAAACUGACUGACUAGAGUAUGGUAGAGGGUGGUGGAAUUUCCUGUGUAGCGGUGAAAUGCGUAGAUAUAGGAAGGAACACCAGUGGCGAAGGCGACCACCUGGACUGAUACUGACACUGAGGUGCGAAAGCGUGGGGAGCAAACAGGAUUAGAUACCCAGGUAGUCCCUGAGCGGGCUGGCAAGGCGCAU